rnacentral:lncRNA from 1 species
GAUUAGAUGAGGAUGAGGUGGUAAAAAUCUGAAGUGAAAAAUAGAAAGAAAAAGGGAAGGAAAAAUAGAAAGGAAGAGAGGAAGAAAAUUGAAAAGUAUGAGAUACUUGUCCAAAAAUCAGAUUGUUCAUGUGUUGAACAUAAAAUCUGAUUAGAGUGUAGUUUAAAAUUUUGAGAAAGAAUUUUUAGAGUGGUCCUAGUGGAGGUCAUAAAGGCGUUCAAGCAUUGAUGCAUCCUGUUUUUGCGAAGGACAAUCGGCAGCGCACUUAUGAAGAAGGCUGUAGCACCAUGUCGAGUUAGAAAGGACCCUGAUCAAUCCUGUGUGGAUCAUCAUUGGAGGGCUUCUACUUUGGAGUCUCAUAGAGAUCUCAAAAUCAUUAGUUCGUGAUC